ensembl:misc_RNA Y_RNA Y RNA
GGCUUGUUCAAAGGUACUGAAUUUUCUCGGUUGAUUACAGUCAGUUACAGAUUGAACUCUUUGUUCUACCCUUCCCCUGCCUUCUCACUAUUGCACUUGACUAGUCUUUA